UACAUUGCAGAUCUCUCUCUCUCUCUCUCUCUCUCUCUCUCUCGCACCAGAAAACCCUUCCUCCGACACCAACUCGCUCGGCUCCGGCAACACAUGUCCGACGCGAAAACACUGUCAUUGAUUCCAGAGUAGUUCGGACUCAGAUCUACAAAUCCAAAAGGUGAGGCCACGACAGCCAAGGGAACCGGUGAGACUCUGCGACGCCGAGCUAGGGAUCCGAUGAGAUCAAAUCGAUCUGGAUCGGCAAGUUGCUUAAGUGGAUAGACAAGAACUACAUCCUCAACUGCUUCGGUACCACUGGAAAGCUGCUCUUGAGUUUAUAGUCGGUGCCUUAGUGUCCAAAGGCAACAUAUCUAGUGCUGCGAAUUUUUGCCAUUUUCAUUUGUAGUAGUAGAUUUCGAAAAUCAUGUGAAUUUGGAUAUUAAGCCACUAUUGACCAAGAGAUCAUUCAGCUAACCAAGAAAUGUUGAAAUGAAGUCUUGUGCUGAAGGUGGCAAAAUUAUGCCUAUGGGUUUAGAGUGUCAGUAUUGAAAAAGGACAUUAGCAUUACAACAUUGGCAGUAGUUUUAUUUAACUAUUGUAAUAAAUCUUCAUGAUUAUGGUAGUGACUUUUUACAAUUAUGAAAGUAGCUUUUUACAUAAUUAUAUCAUUAUUGAACCCUGCAUACUUUUUGUAUCAUCUAAUAUGUUUUAUUUUCUCGAUUGCAGUAGCA